rnacentral:rRNA from 1 species
GACGAACGCUGGCGGCGUGCUUAACCCAUGCAAGUCGAACGGAAAGGCCCUGCUUUUGUGGGGUGCUCGAGUGGCGAACGGGUGAGUAACACGUGAGUAACCUGCCCUUGACUUUGGGAUAACUUCAGGAAACUGGGGCUAAUACCGGAUAGGAGCUCCUGCUGCAUGGUGGGGGUUGGAAAGUUUCGGCGGUUGGGGAUGGACUCGCGGCUUAUCAGCUUGUUGGUGGGGUAGUGGCUUACCAAGGAUUUGACGGGUAGCCGGCCUGAGAGGGUGACCGGCCACAUUGGGACUGAGAUACGGCCCAGACUCCUACGGGAGGCAGCAGUGGGGAAUAUUGCACAAUGGGCGGAAGCCUGAUGCAGCAACGCCGCGUGCGGGAUGACGGCCUUCGGGUUGUAAACCGCUUUCGCCUGUGACGAAGCGUGAGUGACGGUAAUGGGUAAAGAAGCACCGGCUAACUACGUG